GGCACUUCUUCAUGCUGCCUUGCGAAGAAGCUGGCUUGCUUCCUCUUUGUCUUCCGCCAUGAUUGUAGAUUUCCUGAGGCCUCCCAAGCUGUGCUGAACUACCAAACCAAUGCAGACCAAACCAAUGCAGAACUCCUAUGUGCUGAUGGUGGUCUUACAUUUCCCUAAGUUUCUGCCGACUAAACUGUGCACACGUUCUCAGGACCUCCUGAAGCUGCGUCACAGGCACUAAUCAAAGAACACAACCAAGAGUUUGGCCUUUUCUUCAGCACUGGGAAUUGUGAUCCAAAGCUUUUCCCGAUGAAGCACAAAGUUGGAGAAAAAAAAACGCAAACUAAACAACCACAAUGAAACAGAACAGAGUUAAUCUGCUGUAGCUCAAGAGAGGAUGUACCUGCCCCCACCCCGCAUCCCUGGGCUCGGGUUUGCCUUGCUGACCUCUGCUGCCACCUGGUGCCACACAGAGAAACUGAGGAGAAACCACAUCAGUCUCCUUCAGCCUCAGCUUCACAUCUGAACAGUAAGAGGACCUUGUGCAUGAAUAAUUUGUUUCCACACUGCAGACAGAAGAAUCCCAGACUUCUUAGAGAACCCAGUGACUUUUUGCACCUUAAAUCUGUGAAAUCCUCAUGCUUUCUUCUGCCGUAUCCAUCGUUCAAACAAACAUGAGGCAAAGCUAGACACAUUCCUGAAGGAACCCAAGAAAUUCCUCUCUUUCUCUCUCUGGAAUGAAAUGAAUUCUCUAGACCACCAGUUCUAACCUUCAAAAACGAAACCUGUUUGUGAGAUCUCCUUCAAAUACUACUGUAGACCCCAGUGUUUAUUCAUUAAAUUUUUUAAACAUUUGUUUUA
rnacentral:sRNA from 1 species